rnacentral:rRNA from 1 species
CGUCCGUCAUGUCUGGAAUCCUGCUAGAGAUCGGGAGUGCCUUCGGGAAUCAGAACACAGGUGCUGCAUGGCUGUCGUCAGCUCGUGUUGUGAAAUG